UUUGUACUGAUAAACAUAAGUGAGUUAUGUGCAGCAUAUCGGAGGUUAAUAUAUGCAAAUAUCAGGUUGUUUUGUACUGAUAAACAUAACUGAAUAAUAGAUACAUAUAUUAGCAUAUCUGAUGUGAUGGUCGAUGUGGGCCUUUUUCCUCCCCUCGGAAAACAACCACGAUGCUCUUCAUCGAAUUAACCUCCUGAUUUGGUUCAAUUGUGCAGGUUACAGUAGCGGCCAUGUUAGGAAGUGUUGGGCCUAUAGUGUUGAUUGCUUUUGUGGUAAACAAUAAUUUGUUCCGUCUUGAUUGCAAGCAUUUCAAUGAAACUGUAGUUUUUCAGCAAAAUAUUUCCAACUGACGGUUUAGUUUGCUAAGAGUUGUUCGUCUCUGUUCAUUUUAUGAUAGUAUUGAUUUGUGUAGCCGACUCAAACAACCUCAUAUAAACCAAAAUGAAUGCGAGAGAGAUUUCUUGCCCAGUUGUUAAAAUGGUUGGAAGCUUGCCAGAAAGACUAUCCAGGUUUACAUUCUAAUAUGAACAUUAGCCAUGAAUGGAAACAAGAUGGUUGUGCUGGAAAUGUAGACCCUCUAGAUUGAGAAAAUAUACAAGUUUACACUCUAAUAUAUAUAAAAAAAGGAUGUGCAUCAAACUUUGGUUGUAUGAUAAAUAGUGAAAACAAAGUUUAACAAUGUAUUUAUCGUGCCUCUACUGCAUAUUUCUUAUUGAUAUACUGGAAACUUGCUUCUAGGUGGAAUCAAGCUGCAUUGAAAUAAACAGAUAUUGUUUAUCUUUAUCCAUGAAAUUGCAUUUUAUUUUCAUGGGUCUAUUGGGAUAUGGAAUCUCUGUUGAAUCUCUGUUGGGUAUGAAAACUGCAUGAGCCCGCAUUAGUUGUGAAUAUCUCUAAUGUUUAAUAAAUUUUGUAUGUUGCAGGUUCAUGAUUUAUGCAGUAAUAUAAAUUAUCUAUUCAUAAACCGAGCUUUAGACUCAAGGUGAAUAAAUAAAAGUGAUAUAUAAGCACUGAAGGUUAUUAGACUCAUUAUUGUAUAAUGUAAAUAAAUACAUCUUUGAGAUGGCUGAAUUUGAAAUUUGCAUGUAAUAAA